rnacentral:snoRNA from 1 species
AGGACCCUAGGCAAGUGGGGCAAAGCCAAGAGCUUGUGACCAGACAUCGAAGGUCUCCGUAGGGUGCCACAGUCACUCAAUAGGGCUAUUUUCCUAAAGAGGCAGAAAU